GUCCUUUUUUAUUUCAAACUGUACAGAGAGAGGUUAUACAACCAGCCUCUUGGAUAAUGGCAUUGUCCCAGGAGAAUUUCCACCCCCUGUCUCUCCCACUUCCUCAUUCGUCAUCAUCAUCACCUCCUCCUCUAUGGAUGCCACUAAGUGCCCUCUGUCUUUGAGCUCUUUGCUCUUCUACUUUUAAGGCUUGCCGGGUUCUGGGAGAUGGUGGGUCUGGGAUGCUUUCUGGCUCUCCCAUGAUUUCCCAACUUUCCCCCUCAUCUGCCUCUGAGCUGCUACCUCCCUCAACCCCCUGUUGUAGGGUCAGGAUGGGGAGGGGGUCUCCACCAUUCCUCCUCUGCUCAGUCCCUGACAAUUAGUUUUCUUUAACAGUGGUAGCAGGUUUUCAGAUUAUACAGAACCUUCUUCAGGCUUUGAUUAUGAGAGCAAAAAAUGAACAUCCAGUAGUCUAGAUAGAAACAACUGGGUAGUCAGGCUGAUGGUUACUUGGUUGCAGAAGUUUACUGGCCAUUGCUGUUGUCAUGGAGUUAGUCUAAGUUGAAUGCAAACAUGCCAUUCUGAUGUCAUGUGUGAUGUCACAAAGCGGAUAUCCUUUAAGUCUUGGUAAAGCCAAAAACAGUUAACAGUCAGACUGACAGCCAAAGACUUCUUUGUUGUCAGACAGUCCCACUUCCUCAUUUGUCAACCUCAUCACCUCCUCUACGGGUGCUGGUUAGUGUCGGAAAUAUAAGGAUUGAUAGUAGUUGUUAAUUCUUUCAGAGUUGGAUCCCUUUAUUUUAAGACCAGUAUCCAGUUGAAGUUGGCAUCGUGGGGCAGAGGCACAUAUCUGACUUCCCAACAGCUGAGUCUCUGUUGGAAGAGGAAGAGAGGGAGGGUCAAGGCAGCUGGAAGGUUGGCAUGGUGCAAAACUACUAAUAGUAGUGCCAGAUUGGCUCUGCCAGUGUGUUUGCACCAUGCUGACCUCUCUGCUGCUUUGCCUCUCCCCUUCCUGUUAAGAAGCUGCAGCUCAGCUAUCAGUAGCUUAAGUAAGCAUCCCACCCUCACAAACAGUUGCUACUGCUGUAAUCAAAUAGUAUCAAAUAGCACCACAAGCCUAAUCUGAAAGUAAACCAUACCAGUUCUUCACCACUACGACCACAUUGAGCAUUGUAUCUGAUGGUGGCUUGGUUACUUGGCCUACACUGUGCCAUACAAGGAGCAUAUGGGCAAACAAAAUUCAUCAGGCCAGAGGUGACUGCCCAACAAGACAUACAUUAAAUAAUAGAGCCUCUAGAUAGUUCAAGGCAGACCAUAACUUAGCAUCACAAUGGAGCUAAUGCAGUCUGAACUGAAGCUGAUACAUUCUCAGAAGAAAUGGAGGCAUGAAAUUGCUGAAUUAACCUUUUGCUACACUGAAUUAGCUAUGUCAUCUAUCAUUGCAGUGGUAGGGUGUGUGUGUGUGUGUGUGUGUGCAUACAGUACUAUUCCGCUGAGACAGAAUCAAUUUUUUUCCUUGUUAAAUCAAAUGACUAUCAUAGUCAAACAUGCUAUGUUAAUAUUAAAUCAAAUAUGUGUAUGAAAUCUAACUAUAUAAUCCUAAAAAUAUUCUGAGUUGUGUGUAGGUGCACUGGACAUGAACUUAUCAAUGUUUAGUAUUUUUAAGUCCCUUUGAUUGCAAUGAAAGCAUGGAAGAUAUCUGUAAUCUCACUGAAACCAACAGGAAUUCAAAGCACUCUUCUCCACAAUUUUCAAGCUGUCAUCUCCAGAAAUAGGGUGAUGUCAGGGACAGGAGGGACACGAGGAGGAGGGGGCUGUGGGCAGAGAGGACAGAGGAGGAGGAUCUAGGGGAAGGGGCCAAUAAUUUGUUGGUUCUGUGCCACCCAUGCAGCAGCUGCUGGUUGUGGAAGAAGAAGGGGGUCAGGAGCAGGAGACAGGGCAGGCAGAGACAGAGAGAAGGAGGAAAGAGAAGAGCUGCAGAAGGUCCUGGGACCAGGAGAGCCUGCAGAGCUCUGGGAGAGGGUUGUGUCUGAGGAAUUCUCUGAGUCCCCCCCCCCAUUGUCUCUCUGUUCAAGAAGAGGCUUGAAGUGAAGGGAACAGCUUGAUCUGCUGUUGAGGUGGAGCCUCUGAGGGCUUGAGCGCACCACGUCAGCCAAUGGGGGUUGAGAAGGAAUGGGGGUGGAGCUAGGCUGUUGCUCCAACUGUCUGAGCUAGGGCCCAGGUCUGCAGUCAUGGGUUGUCUAGGCAACUAGUUAGUGGGGAAUAAUGCUGUGUAUAUUACUUGAACUUUAGGAGCUGAUGAAACUGAGUGCUUUGUCAAGAAAGAAUUAAUUCCCCAUAGCUUCAGACACCUCUCAAGACAUCAUCGCCAAACUCAACAUGAGGUUUCCUGAGGGCGACAGUAAUUCUCAACCUUCAGAUGCCAGCUGCCAUUUUGAAUCAAGAUGGUGGCCCAAAUAUGACUUUGGCAUGACUCUGCCCCCUUUUUGGCACGAAUCAUCACCAAACUUAGCACAAGGAUUCCCAAGGUGAGGGUGACAGAUGUCAUCAAUGUUUAGAUUCUGGGCACCAUUGUGAAUCAAGGUGGCAGACCAAACUGUGACUUUGGCAGGCCUUUGCCUGAUUUUUUGCACGACAGGUCCAAACUCACAAAAAAUUGCACUAUUUUAAAAUCACAAUAUAUUUUGUGCUGAAAAGGGUUUGGAGCUGCUGUAACUUUAUGCUGCCUUAAUUUAUACUGUCUUCCUUUAUGCCAGUGUAUUGUGCAUUGGGAUUUUCCCUAAGUGAACACCAUAUCUAGAACAAAUCCAUAUUUAGGCAUGCCUCAAUAACGUGUAACUAGUUGAGCAAGAAUGUGGAUGUGACAAUAUGCACAUCAGGAUGGAUAGCUUAUUCAAAGCAAUGCAGCAUGCACAGAAUGCAUCCUAAUCGUGAACACAGAUUCAAUUUCAAUUUGUUCUUGGAUAAACUUGUUUAUGCUGGUGGAUCUCCAAAGCUGGACAUUCUUUCAAAAAAAGAAAAAGAUUUUUGACUGUCUCUAUUUUGUAUUCAUUUAGGAGUUCAUUUUUCUCCAGUCCGAUACUGAAAUAGCUGAAUGGUAGAAUGUUUGAUGCUGGAAAUUCAUUUUUGGUUAUUUAAUUAUGGAUGCAAAGGCAUUGUUAGGGGAAGAAUAUUUUAUGUCAAGCUUUUAUAUGAUGACUAAAGGGCGGA